CUACGGGAUGCACCAGUUAAGAAUAAUCUACAAUGCACGCGAGUGUGAUAGUUUGAGCCAGAGUGAUUCUCAAUAUGGGAAUCUUUUGUGAAAUGUAAAAAGUUUUUCGAAUAAGGACUGGGUAAGACUAGUGCCAGCCGCCGCGGUAAUACUGGCGGUCCAAGUCGCAGCCAUUUUUAUUGGGUCUAAAACAUCCGUAGCUUGCUUGAUAAGUUUCUUGUGAAAUUUUAUAUCUCAAAUAUGAAGCGUGCAAGAAGUACUGUUGAGCUAGAGACUGGAAGACGUAAAGAGUAUGUUUGAAGUAGCGGUAAAAUGUGUUAAUCUCAGACAGACUAACGAUAGCGAAGGCACUUUACGAGGACAGUUCUGACAGUAAGGGAUGAAGGCUAGGGGCGCAAAACGGAUUAGAUACCCUUGUAGUC
rnacentral:rRNA from 1 species